rnacentral:rRNA from 1 species
UAGCCAUGCUAGUCGCACGAGUUCAGACUCGUGGCGAAUAGCUCAGUAACACGUGGCCAAACUACCCUUCGGAACACAAUACCCUCGGGAAACUGAGGCUAAUAGUGUAUACCAUACCACCACUGGAAUGAGUGGUAUGCCAAACGCUCCGGCGCCGAAGGAUGUGGCUGCGGCCGAUUAGGUAGACGGUGGGGUAACGGCCCACCGUGCCAAUAAUCGGUAUGGGUCAUGAGAGUGAGAACCCAGAGACGGAAUCUGAGACAAGAUUCCGGGCCCUACGGGGCGCAGCAGGCGCGAAACCUUUACACUGCACGACAGUGCGAUAGGGGGAUCCCAAGUGCACAGGCAUAGCGCCUGUGCUUUUCGGUACCCUAAGGCGGUACCAGAAUAAGGGCUGGGCAAGACCGGUGCCAGCCGCCGCGGUAAUACCGGCAGCCCAAGUGAUGGCCGAUCUUAUUGGGCCUAAAGCGUCCGUAGCUGGCCGCGCAAGUCCAUCGGGAAAUCCACCUGCUCAACAGGUGGGCGCCCGGUAGAAACUGCGUGGCUUGGGACCGGAAGGCGCGACGGGUACGUCCGGGGUAGGAGUGAAAUCCCGUAAUCCUGGACGGACCGCCGAUGGCGAAAGCACGUCGCGAGAACGGAUCCGACAGUGAGGGACGAAAGCCAGGGUCUCGAACCGGAUUAGAUACCCGGGUAGUCCUGGCCGUAAACAAUGUCUGCUAGGUGUGGCUCCCACUACGAGUGGGUGCUGUGCCGUAGGGAAGCCGCUAAGCAGACCGCCUGGGAAGUACGUCCGCAAGGAUGAAACUUAAAGGAAUUG